rnacentral:rRNA from 1 species
CCUACGGGAGGCAGCAGUGAGGAAUAUUGGUCAAUGGGCGGGAGCCUGAACCAGCCAAGCCGCGUGAGGGAAGAAGGCGCCAGGCGUCGUAAACUUCUUUUGUCGGGGAACAAAGGGCGCCACGCGUGGCGUUGUGAGUGUACCCGAAGAAAAAGCAUCGGCUAACUCCGUGCCAGCAGCCGCGGUAAUACGGAGGAUGCGAGCGUUAUCCGGAUUUAUUGGGUUUAAAGGGUGCGUAGGCGGACUGUUAAGUCAGCGGUAAAAUACGGGGGCUCAACCCCCGCCCGCCGUUGAAACUGACGGUCUUGAGUGGGCGAGAAGUAUGCGGAAUGCGCGGUGUAGCGGUGAAAUGCAUAGAUAUCACGCAGAACUCCGAUUGCGAAGGCAGCAUACCGGCGCCCAACUGACGCUGAAGCACGAAAGCGUGGGUAUCGAACAGGAUUAGAUACCCGUGUAGUC